rnacentral:rRNA from 1 species
GACGAACGCUGGCGGCGUGGAUUAGGCAUGCAAGUCGAACGGUAUCAUCCUUUCGGGGGUGAGAGAGUGGCGAACUGGUGAGUAACACGUAGGUUAUCUACCCUCAAGACGGGGACAACCCAGGGAAACUUGGGCUAAUACCGGAUGUGAGCAACUUUUAGUUGUUUGAAAGGUGGCGUAAGCUGUCGCUUGGGGAUGAGCCUGCGUCCUAUUAGUUAGUUGGUGAGGUAACGGCUCACCUAGGCAAUGAUAGGUAGGCGGCCUUAACGGGUGGUCGCCCACACUGGGAUUGAGAUACGGCCCAGACUCCUACGGGAGCAGCAGUCGAGAAUAGUCUACAAUGGUCGGAAGACUGAUAGUGCGACGCCGCGUGAACGAUGAAUCCCUUCGGGGUGUAAAGUUCUUUUAUAUGUGAGCAGUGCUUCUUAUAUUAACAGUAUGGGGAGAGAGAUAUUAGCAUAUGAAUAAGCAACGGCUAACUCCGUGCCAGCAGCCG